UACGGAGGGGGCAAGCGUUGUCCGAAUUUACUGGGCGUAAAGAGCGCGUAGGCGGGUCUUUAAGUCCGCUGUGAAAGCCCGGGGCUCAACCCCGGAGGGUCGGCGGAUACUGAGGGCCUUGAAGGUGCUAGGGGGAGAUGGAAUUACAGGUGUAGCGGUGAAAUGCGUAGAUAUCUGUAGGAACACCAGUGGCGAAGGCGAUCUCCUGGGGCAUUCUUGACGCUGAGGCGCGAAAGCUGGGGGAGCGAACGGG
rnacentral:rRNA from 1 species